GUGCUCACUUUGCCAGCACAGGUGCUAAAACCGGAAUGAUACAGAAAGGAUUAGCAUCGUCCCUGCACAUGGAUGACAUGUAAAUUCGUGAAGCAUUCCUUCAUCAG